GCAUCGCCAGGCGCGUGACUAAAGCAAGC
rnacentral:sRNA from 1 species